GGCAAGGUCACUUACCUACAACAUUGA
rnacentral:sRNA from 1 species